AUGGAGCCGGCCAGCAACCAGCGACGCAGCCACCAUUGUCUUACCUGCUCUAAGCACACAGUCAAUUUUGUUUCAGAUGGAAUGCAUUCAGCAUACAUGGUGGAAGAGAGCUGCCCCCGGGCCCUCACUACUGAACAAGCACGCCCACAACAAGCACAUGGAGAUCUUCAUCACAGGGCUCGCCAUCACUUUAAAACAUGA
rnacentral:rRNA from 1 species